rnacentral:rRNA from 1 species
GUGCAACCGUUGCUCGGAAUCACUGGGCGUAAAGCGCACGUAGGCGGCUUUUUAAGUCAGGGGUGAAAUCCUGGAGCUCAACUCCAGAACUGCCUUUGAUACUGAGAAGCUUGAGUCCGGGAGAGGUGAGUGGAACUGCGAGUGUAGAGGUGAAAUUCGUAGAUAUUCGCAAGAACACCAGUGGCGAAGGCGGCUCACUGGCCCGGUACUGACGCUGAGGUGCGAAAGCGUGGGGAGCAAACAGG